rnacentral:piRNA from 1 species
CUUGAAUGUAGUAUCGAAAUCAGUUCAUGA